rnacentral:rRNA from 1 species
ACGAACGCUGGCGGCGUGCUUCACCCAUGCCAGUCGAACGGUGAAGCGCCUUCCUUUUUGGUGGGUGUGGAUGAGUGGCGAACGGGUGAGUAACACGUGAGUAACCUGCCCCCUUCUUCUGGAUAACCGCAUGAAAGUGUGGCUAAUACGGGAUAUUCUGGGUCUGUCGCAUGAUGGGUCUGGGAAAGAUAUUGUUUCGGUGGGGGAUGGGCUCGCGGCCUAUCAGCUUGUUGGUGGGGUGAUGGCCUACCAAGGCGGUGACGGGUAGCCGGCCUGAGAGGGUGGACGGUCACACUGGGACUGAGACACGGCCCAGACUCCUACGGGAGGCAGCAGUGGGGAAUAUUGCACAAUGGGCGCAAGCCUGAUGCAGCGACGCCGCGUGAGGGAUGGAGGCCUGCGGGUUGUGAACCUCUUUCGCCAGUGAAGCAGGCCUGCCUCGUUUGUGGGUGGGUUGACGGUAGCUGGAUAAGAAGCGCCGGCUAACUACGUG